AUUGAACGCUGGCGGCAGGCCUAACACAUGCAAGUCGAGCGGAGCGGCGGACGGGUGAGUAAUGCCUAGGAAUCUACCUGGUAGUUGGGGAUAACGUCCGGACACGGGCGCUAAUACAGCAUACUAUCAGAUGAGCCUAUGUCGGAUUAGCUAGGUGGUGGGGUAAAUGCCUACCAAGGCGACGAUCCGUAACUGGUCUGAGAGGAUGAUCAGUCACACUGGGACUGAGACACGGUCCAGACUCCUACGGGAGGCAGCAGUGGGGAAUAUUGGACAAUGGGCGAAAGCCUGAUCGAGCAAUGCCGCGUGUGUGAAGAAGGUCUUCGGAUUGUAAAGCACUUUAAGUUGGGAGGCGUUACCAACAGAAUAAGCACCGGCUAACUUCGUGCCAGUAGCCGCGGUAAUAC
rnacentral:rRNA from 1 species